rnacentral:sRNA from 1 species
GGGAAGGAUGGUCCAGAAUUCACUUUUACUACCCCAAAGUUUGUCUCAUGGAUCCAUUAUGGCUUCUUCACAUGACAUGAGUCUUGUCAGUGAGGACCUUACAGCUUAGUUGAAGAAAUUUUGCAUAACUCAAGGAGAAAUUGAAGCCAUAGU